GGAUAGCUCAGGUAGUAGAGCAUGAGACUCUUAAUCUUAGGGUGGUGGUUCAAGCCCCACGUUGAUCA